CUACCCAGAUAGGUCAACUUUUUUUUAUUUCUCUCCAUUCAGUCAUUUGUCUCUUUCAAGAACCGUCUGGCAUUCAGGGAGGGAGCUUUCGAAACUGAGUGGUAGGUGGCGACACUUGCAACUUAACCCCCUAAAAGAAGACCAAGCUACAGGAGUGGAACAAAAAGUGGCUGCUACAAUUCAAUGCAGUUAUUAUUAUUAUUAUUCUAAGUUAUCUGAAAUAUACGUGGACUCAACACCAUCUACGUCAUACAAAGACCACAAUGACCUAGAGGUUAAAAAAGGUUAAGUGAGGUUAAAUGACAUUGUGUGAUAUUGAAAGAAAAUUGAAUGAGCUGUUUCUUGGGAGUUUAAUUUUCAAUACUCUAGAACUUUUAUUUUGUUUUUUGUUUUGUUUAUGUGCUUAAAUAAUUCCAGCUUUUUGUCUUGUUUCUUAUUCUACACUGUCCUCUUUCCCUCCUUUUCCAUUCUUACUCUUCAUUUUUUUCGUUCCCUUUCUGUAAUCCUUUUCUUUCUCCUUUUUUUCCUUAUUUUCCGUAUUCAUUUUAUAUUUUCCAUCCCCCUAACAAAUGAUUUUCCUGUUUUCACCUCCAUGGUCUUGUGGUUGGCGUCCCUAACUACAAAACCGCGGGCGCAGGUUCGGAUCCCGGCCCGGGCAGUCAACGUGCAGGCCACCCAGCUGUUCAUCCUCCCUUUGGGCUUGUUGAAAAUUGGGUACCUGGGGACACCUGGGGAAGGUAGACUGUGGUAACCCGGAUGUCACUCUGCCGCUGUGUCCCGGGGGCGUAUUCCCAAUCUCUCAACGGGUAUGUGGGCCCUGAGACGCUCGGAUGUUUUUUUUUUUUAAGGUUUUCCUCUUUUUAUAUAUAAGUUAAGACUGACAUACACAAACUCAUGAAUAGCCUGACAAAUUAUCUUAAGGUGUAUUAUUGAAACCACUGAAACUCUGCCCAUAUUUCCUGUAACUGUUCAUGACAUCUUAGGGCCAAACGAUGCCAAGCCAUUCACCCAGUCACCCAGUCAACCAUUCAAGCAAACGUGUAUGUGGUCCCUCGGUGAAGACGCUUGUUGUUGUUUUUGUUUUGUUUUUUUAAGGUUUACCCCCUUUUAUAUAUGUAUUGAUACCAUUUAAGCUGAGACUGACAAACACGAUCUCAUGAAUAGCCUGACAAAUUAUCUUAAGGUGUAUUAUUGAAACCACUGAAACUCUGCCCAUAUUUCCUGUAACUGUUCAUGACAUCUUAGGGCCAAACGAUGCCAAGCCAUUCAACCAGUCACCCAGUCAACCAUUCUAGCAGUCAACCAAUCAACCAAACGGGUAUGUGGUCCCUGAGACGCUCGGAUGUUUUUUUUUAUUUUUUAUUUUUUAAGGUCUACCGCUUUUUUAUAUGUAUUGAUUUUUUUACUGGACCAUUUUAUUUGUUUUUAUUUGUUUUAUGUUAACUGCAGUUGUUGUGGUCAAUGAAAUAUACUACCAUACUACUACUACUACUACUACUACUACUACUAUAAUAGCUUCGAAACUAUCCACGGGGUGUUCUGGAAAAUACUCUCAUUGUGAUUCCCACCCAAAAUUACCAUGAACGACCCCAACUGAACCUAACCUGACCUGACCUGACCUGUUAAAGAGCGAGCGCCACAUACCCGUACAGAGGUUAAAAAAAAUUAAAAAAAAUCAAAAUUAUCAUAUAAUUUUAUGACCCAAACUAAACCUAACCUAACUAACCUAACCUGACCUUACCUAACCUGACCUGUUCAAGAGCGAGCGUCACAUACCCGAACAGAGGUUAACCCACUCAAAAUUACAAUAUAUGACCCCAACUAAACCUAACCUUAAAUAACCAGACCUGACCUGACCUGACCUGACCUGUUGAAGAGCGGGAGCCACAUACCCGCACAAAGGCAAA